AUACGGAGGGUGCAAGCGUUAAUCGGAAUUACUGGGCGUAAAGCGCGCGUAGGCGGUAAGGUCAGUCGGAUGUGAAAGCCCCGGGCUCAACCUGGGAACUGCAUUCGAUACUGCCUGACUAGAGUAUGGUAGAGGGAAGUGGAAUUUCCGGUGUAGCGGUGAAAUGCGUAGAUAUCGGAAGGAACACCAGUGGCGAAGGCGGCUUCCUGGACCAAUACUGACGCUGAGGUGCGAAAGCGUGGGGAGCAAACAGGAUUAGAAACCCUAGUAGUCC
rnacentral:rRNA from 1 species